UGGGGAAUCUUAGACAAUGGGCGCAAGCCUGAUCUAGCCAUGCCGCGUGAGUGAUGAAGGCCUUAGGGUCGUAAAGCUCUUUCGCCAGAGAUGAUAAUGACAGUAUCUGGUAAAGAAACCCCGGCUAACUCCGUGCCAGCAGCCGCGGUAAUACGGAGGGGGUUAGCGUUGUUCGGAAUUACUGGGCGUAAAGCGCACGUAGGCGGAUCAGAAAGUUGGGGGUGAAAUCCCGGGGCUCAACCCCGGAACGGCCUCCAAAACUCCUGGUCUUGAGUUCGAGAGAGGUGAGUGGAAUUCCGAGUGUAGAGGUGAAAUUCGUAGAUAUUCGGAGGAACACCAGUGGCGAAGGCGGCUCACUGGCUCGAUACUGACGCUGAGGUGCGAAAGUGUGGGGAGCAAACAGGAUUAGAUACCCCCGUAGUCC
rnacentral:rRNA from 1 species